rnacentral:rRNA from 1 species
CUCGAAAGCCUGUCUCAGUUCGGAUUGGGGGCUGAAACCCGCCUCCAUGAAGUUGGAUUCGCUAGUAAUCGCGCAUCAGCCAUGGCGCGGUGAAUACGUUCCCGGGCCUUGUACACACCGCCCGUCAAGCCAUGGGAGCCGGGGGUGCCUGAAGUUCGUGACCGCAAGGAGCGACCUAGGGCAAAACUGGUGACUGGGGCUAAGUCGUAACAAGGUACC